rnacentral:tRNA from 1 species
GCCGGUAUAGGCUAAAUGGUUAAACCACACCAUUCAUACUGGUAGAUUGUAGGGUUCGAGUCCCUCUUCCGGCU